GCCCGGGUGGCGGAACUGGUAUACGCACUCGACUUAAAAUCGGGCGCCGCAAGGCAUGUGGGUUCGACUCCCACCCCGGGCACCA
rnacentral:tRNA from 1 species